UGGGCAGCAGCUCAGUGGUAGAGCUCCGGUUUUGUAUGUGGGAAGACCUGGGUUCGACUCCCGACUGCCUGC
rnacentral:tRNA from 1 species